UUUCCCCCUCACCCGCACGACUUUUCUUCUUUUUCUCUUUUUCUUCUUUUCUCCUCCCCGUCGCACACCCCCUUCUCUUCUCCUCUUUCCUUCUUCCUCUCUUCCGCUCAGCUCCAAGCAGCAGCACACCGGACUCCUUUUCUCCCUUUUUCCUUUCUUUCCUCUCUUUUCCCUCCACGCGCAGGCCCCCCCCCCCCCCCUCUCUCAGUUUCUCCCCUCGCCUGAACCCCUUUCUUUCCCUCUUCUCUUCUUCUUCCGCCACAGCAGCACCGAUGCCCUCCUCUCUUCCCUUCCCUCUUCUUCCCUUCAGUUUCCACCUGCUGGCCGAGUAAGAGCUGCUGCCGAGAGUGGGAUUUCUGCAUAAAAUUGGUGUUGGCCGUAGAUGCUAAUAAAUUAAGGCACAGAAGGUGGAGACUUCAAUUGUUCCCCAACGGUGAGUUCAAGGUAACUAGAACGUGGGGGAUAUUCGAGUCAUGAGUCCAAUGCAGCUAGAUAAGCUGUCAUGACACGUCUGAUGAGAAAUUCUGCUUGCCAUUGAGUCGUUGACGAAAAUUAGAUCAUGAAGUUUAGAGUAGAAGAACCAGGAGUUAAAGCACUCAUUUGCCAAGAUAAAUGGGUUUUUUGGUAAAGAACUUUCAGAAUGGCAAAUUUAGUUGAUGCAUGCUAAAAGCCCUGUUACAAUUUGUGGCGAUAUUCAUGGGCAGUUCCAUGAUCUUGCAGAGCUUUUUCGCAUUGGAGGGAAAUGUAUUUGUCUGACUGGGGAUUUCAACUUUGUACUCAUAUUAUGUUUGCAAAAGGAAUGGUGAUCAAUUACUGCUUGAGAUUUAUGAAUUGACUGGUUUUUCCAAUUUGAGAAUUGAAAUUCUCCAACUGCAGUUGUUGUGUUUAUGAUGAUGUGUUAAGAUUAAUUAUUUUUGUAAGUGUGAAAGAGGCUUCUAGACUUAGUUGA